GAGCCUGUCCCGUUGUAAAAACUCGUCUGUGAUCCAUCCACUGUAGGAACUCGACUGGGAUCCGGCUAUGUAGGAGCUCGGGUGAAGCCCACUUGCAAUAGAAGUUCGGAGUAGAGAUCCGACUGGUGGAGCUCUUCCAUUGUAGAAGUUCGUCCGAAAUCCAUCCACUAUGGAAGUUCAGACGAAGUCCGAUUCUUGUAAAAGUCCGGAUGGGGACCGC
rnacentral:lncRNA from 1 species